rnacentral:tRNA from 3 species
GUCCCUGUAGUUCAAUGGAUAGAACGGCGGUUUCCUAAACUGCUGAUCCAGGUUCGACUCCUGGCAGGGACA